rnacentral:rRNA from 1 species
GGGGAAUAUUGGACAAUGAGCGAAAGCCUGAUCCAGCCACGCCGCGUGAGUGAUGAAGGCCUUCGGGUUGUAAAGCUCUGUCGGGAGGGAAGAAGAUCUGACGGUACCUCCCAAGAAAGCACCGGCUAACUCCGUGCCAGCAGCCGCGGUCAUACGGAGGGUGCAAGCGUUGCUCGGAAUUACCGGGCGUAAAGCGCACGCAGGCGGCCCUGCAAGUCGGAUGUGAAAGCCCCUGGCUCAACCCGGGAACUGCAUUCGAAACUGCGGGGCUUGAGUUCGGAAGAGGGUGGUGGAAUUCCUGGUGUAGAGGUGAAAUUCGUUGAUAUCAGGAGGAACACCGGCGGCGAAGGCGGCCACCUGGUCCGAUACUGACGCUCAUGUGCGAAAGCGUGGGUAGCAAAC